AUUGAACGCUGGCGGCAGGCCUAACACAUGCAAGUCGAGCGGUAACACAGGGAGCUUGCUCCCGGGUGACGAGCGGCGGACGGGUGAGUAAUGUCUGGGAAACUGCCUGAUGGAGGGGGAUAACUACUGGAAACGGUAGCUAAUACCGCAUAAUGUCGCAAGACCAAAGAGGGGGACCUUCGGGCCUCUUGCCAUCAGAUGUGCCCAGAUGGGAUUAGCUAGUAGGUGGGGUAACGGCUCACCUAGGCGACGGUCCCUAGCUGGUCUGAGAGGAUGGACAGCCACACUGGAACUGAGACACGGUCCAGACUCCUACGGGAGGCAGCAGUGGGGAAUAUUGCACAAUGGGCGCAAGCCUGAUGCAGCCAUGCCGCGUGUAUGAAGAAGGCCUUCGGGUUGUAAAGUACUUUCAGCGGGGAGGAAGGUGUUGAGGUUAAUAACCUCAGCAAUUGACGUUACCCGCAGAAGAAGCACCGGCUAACUCCGUGCCAGCAGCCGCAGUAA
rnacentral:rRNA from 1 species